CCUACGGGGGGCUGCAGUGGGGAAUAUUGGACAAUGGGCGAAAGCCUGAUCCAGCCAUGCCGCGUAUGUGAAGAAGGCCUUCGGGUUGUAAAGCACUUUCAGUGGGGAAGAAAGCCUUGGGGCUAAUACCCUCGAGGAAGGACAUCACCCACAGAAGAAGCACCGGCUAACUCCGUGCCAGCAGCCGCGGUAAUACGGAGGGUGCGAGCGUUAAUCGGAAUUACUGGGCGUAAAGCGCGCGUAGGCGGUCUGAUAAGCCGGUUGUGAAAGCCCCGGGCUCAACCUGGGAACGGCAUCCGGAACUGUCAGGCUAGAGUGCAGGAGAGGAAGGUAGAAUUCCCGGUGUAGCGGUGAAAUGCGUAGAGAUCGGGAGGAAUACCAGUGGCGAAGGCGGCCUUCUGGACUGACACUGACGCUGAGGUGCGAAAGCGUGGGUAGCAAACAGGAUUAGAUACCCUAGUAGUC
rnacentral:rRNA from 1 species